rnacentral:rRNA from 1 species
UACGUAGGGGGCGAGCGUUGUCCGGAGUUACUGGGCGUAAAGCGCUUGUGGGCGGUCCACCAAGUUUGGGGUGACAGUUGCCGACUUAAUCGGCAAAGUGCCUCAAAGACUGGCGGACUUGAGGGCCACAGAGGGACAUGGAACUCCAGGUGUAGUGGUGAAAUGCGUAGAUAUCUGGAAGAACACCAAAGGCGAAGGCAGUGUCCUGGGUGGUCGCUGACGCUGAGAGGCGAAAGCCAGGGGAGCGAACGGG